rnacentral:rRNA from 1 species
UACGUAGGGUCCGAGCGUUGUCCGGAAUUAUUGGGCGUAAAGAGCUCGUAGGCGGUUUGUCGCGUCUGCUGUGAAAUCCCGAGGCUCAACCUCGGGUCUGCAGUGGGUACGGGCAGACUGGAGUGCGGUAGGGGAGAAUGGAAUUCCUGGUGUAGCGGUGGAAUGCGCAGAUAUCAGGAGGAACACCGAUGGCGAAGGCAGUUCUCUGGGCCGUAACUGACGCCGAGGAGCGAAAGCGUGGGGAGCAAACAGG